GAUAAAGUGACUGCAUCACAAUAUUGUACCCCGUGAUGGAAUUGUUCUACUUUCCAUUUUUCAUUUACUCCCGAUAAUGGGGCUUUCAUGAAUCGUCACCGUUGAUGAUGGGCUCUCAAUUUCUCUGCCAUUUCCCCCUUCCAAUUUGCCGUAAUUGUUAUAGUCGGUUCUUGGAUGAUGGUUAUGGUGAUGGUAAAAUUCUUUGGUGGCGGUGUUUUUCCGGUGGCCGGAGCGGCGGCUCGCGGUGGGAUUGGGAGAAGAAUGUAAACCCCAGGCAGCGCUCCAGAUUUACAGACUCUUAUGUGGCGGAGGAGUAUGAUGAGGAGUAUAGUUUCAGAAACUCAGCGAAAGAGAGGAUUUGGUGGUCUGAUGAAGACGACGACGAAGACGACGAAGGGUUUGGGAUUCUCGAAGCUUCCAUUGGGUUUAAUUGGGUUUUUAAGAUUUUUCGAGCCUUUGGGUGGAUGAUUCCUGCAGUUAUCAUCUCGUUGCUGCUUGGAACGGGACCUGACACUAUCAUCAUGGCCUUGGCACUACCCCUUGCCCAAUCAGCACUUUCUUUGGCUGCUGAAGCAUUAUUGGGAAGGGCCAAUGAACCCCCAAGACCAAGACCUAAGAACAAGAAGAGGCCUUUUGUUGGAGCCACAAACCGUACUAGAGUGAGAAAAGAAAAAGAAUUCCGAACUCAGAAGGGAAAGGAAGCUGGGAAUUAUAAGUCAUGGGUAGAUGCAAAUAAUAUUUCUACCAAAAAUGAGAAAUGUAAACAACAAAGAUUCAAUGGAUGGGACGAGCUAGAUAAUCAACAAAGAGUGGAUAAGGAACCUCGUGUUGGAUCUGCUAAAAACGCAAAUGAACCAAGAGCUCAAGCGGAAGUAAAAUUAAGGAGGAGAACAAAGGGAGAUACUCCACUUUUGAUGAGACUACUGAUUGCAAUGUUCCCCUAUCUGGGAUUUUGGACAAAGUUGUUCUAAUCUACUUUAGUUUGCAUACGAAGACAUUCCAUUCUACUCUAUUUUGCUAAUUUCGUUACUACAGUUUCCAGCCCUUAUCUAUUGGCUUACUAGAGGAUUGUUUACAGUGUAUAUAUAUAUAUAUAUCUAUAUAUAUAUAUCCUGUUUCCUGUUUUCAUAAAGAACGAAUACUGUGAAAUAAUACUACACAUAGUAGUUUAUACAGUCCUUGUUGAAUCUGAAUCUUGAUCUUCGAGUAGAAGGCUUGAAGUUAUGCGCUGUAUAGGAUAUGAUUUCAAAGUAGAUGAGUUAUGGAUGAAUGCAUCCCAGAAAACGUCAUUCCUUCUAUUACUGAAGACAUGAAGUAUGAACCUCCAGUAUUGGAAAGUGACGAGGGCGUCCAUUGGGGAAUACAAAAUGGCCUUCACCUCUCUAGGAGUACUGUUGUUUAUUUCAAGCACAAUGACAUGUUGUCUUUAGAAAGCAUUCUGGAGAAUGUUACGCACGAGAGCAGACGAGCUAAGAAGCUUAGGCGUCAUAUCAUUGUAGAAGCUGUCUAUCAGAAUUCUGGUCAAAUUGCGCUACUGGAUGAAAUCAUCAAAUUGAAGGAGAAAUACCAAUUCUGGGUAUACUAGAUGAAAGAAAUUCUUUUGGAGUUCUUGGAAGUACUGGUAGAGGUCUAACUAAACAUUGCAAAGUUCCAAAGUUCCAGUAAGUUCUCACCACCUUGCUGAUUAAUUGGUUGUAUAAUUUUGUCAUCUUCUCCAUUCCACUAGUUUUUUGCUAGAUUGCGAAGGUGGAUAUUGUCACUGCCUCAAUGGGACAUGCAUUGGCUGCUGAAGGAGGGUUUUGCACGGAAGUUCUCGAGUGAUUGAUCACCAGGGGUGCAUGUUUUUUGGUGUCCAUUAUGAAUGCAAAUCCGAACCCUAGUUUUGGGAGAUUGAAUGGUCUAGGUUUACCUGCUGUGUCUUUGGCUGGCAAAAGGAUAGGUAUUCUGGAUGCCUCCCUGAAACCAACAUAAAUGUGUACCUCAUCAGGAACUCUAGUAGCACUUGAGUAGGCUUCCUGUGUUUAGGGUGGUAUACGCAUAAAGCAUGUCUUAAAUAAUGGAAAGUAGUGGCUCAUUUUAGAUGGCCUUAAAAACCUCAGUUAUCGCACCUUUUAUAUCAUACACUCUUGCAUAGAAACACAUACAUAUUUCCAACUCAAAAUAAAAUUGGUUUUAUGUAUUAGGUUGGAGCAUUCAACCUUCAACUUUGUUGCUAAUCCCCUAGGAUGUUUCAAUUGAUCCAUUUUCCCCUUUCAUGCAUUUUUUGUUUUAUUGGAGGAAUGGGCUCCAGUGUUGCCUUGUUCGUUAUUUUUGUCAGAAACUAAGCAUCUGAGCAAUCUUUAAGGAAUUGGAUGCAUCUUUAUCCUAUAAGUUAUUUAUAUCCUUGUAGAUAGUAUUUUCUUUUGUCAAGUAGUUUUUAUGUCUCCCUAACAAUGGUAUGACAUCGUCAUUGUAAAAUUUCUUGCUGGAGAAUUAGAGAGUUUCAGUGCUUGUUGGUACUUGCUAAAUAAAUUGGUAGGAUAUUGGGUAGCAGAAUGUGUUCCCAUAAAAAAUUCUCUGCCUGAUAUCAUGUAUGGAUUACAGCAGGUUUGUCAGACCUCCAAGGCCUUGAAAUAGUCAAUGAUCUGGAAUCACCGAUAGUUUUUCUGAGACUGCAGAGGUCCACAGGAUCCAUAAAGGUUGAUCUUCGAGUUGUGGAAGAUAAUGCUAAUCAUUUAUUGAAAGAACACUCCAUCUCCGUUGCAACUUCAAAAAUAUCAACAACAGACAAGUGCAAGUUACCUGCUGGAAUCAGAUUAUUUGUUUCUGCUGCUCACACAGAAUAUGAUCUGAGGAAAGCGUGCGAAUCAUUAAAGAAAGCCACAGUCCUUUUAUUGGCAGGGCAGUGAAUCUGGCUUGUGGAUGUAAUGUGAAAGGUCUCUUGGCUGGACAGCUCUAUUAUGGAAGCCACAACACAAGACAAUGAAGAAAUUGCAUUCUCCUCUGUGCCUACAAGUGAGAGCUAACUUUGAUAGCAUUUCAUGUGUUGCAUCUCGACGUGCCUGUUACUGAUAAUGAUGGCAUUUGCAAACUCGGGACCGCGGAACUUGAACGUCUUUGUGGUGUUAGGUUUGGUUUAAUUAUGCUGCUCUUGUAUUCCAAAGUAUACUACAAAUUGAAUAUAGUUUUUGAUUGUGCUUUAAAUGCAAUUUUAUGUUUUAUUUACCAGAAACGUACAGAGUUAUGAGACACAGGCUCUUGGGAAAAAGGGCUGCUGGUUUUCUGGGUUAUUGGUGGAUUUACAAGGUUAUCUGACAGUGUCUUGAUCAUCAGACACCUUAGGAAAUAGCGUCGUUCUAUCAUGUGAAUUGUGUUGUUGGAUCUUAAACUUGAUUUGUAUUUGGAGUUCUCAGACUGCAGAAGCCUAAUGUGUUAAGUUGAUGAAUGUACAGUGUACUCAUUCACGCAUUCUACAUUUUAGUACAUGUUAUAAUAGUAGUAACGUUGUAU